CCGCCAUUAGCUCAACGGGAAGAGCAGACGAUUUUCGAUUGGAAGGGACGGGGUUCGAGGCCUCGAUGGCGGU
rnacentral:tRNA from 1 species